UACGUAGGGUGCAAGCGUUAUCCGGAAUUAUUGGGCGUAAAGAGCUCGUAGGCGGUUUGUCACGUCUGCUGUGAAAACUGGAGGCUCAACCUCCAGCCUGCAGUGGGUACGGGCAGACUAGAGUGCGGUAGGGGAGAUUGGAAUUCCUGGUGUAGCGGUGGAAUGCGCAGAUAUCAGGAGGAACACCGAUGGCGAAGGCAGAUCUCUGGAGCCGUAACUGACGCUGAGGAGCGAAAGCAUGGGGAGCGAACAGG
rnacentral:rRNA from 1 species